rnacentral:lncRNA from 10 species
CUUUUCCUGCAGAGGGUGCUUCACUAGAACAACUUUUCUGAUUUUUUAUUCCUUUGCAUACUCCUCUCUAGGAGAAGUGAAGUGGCUUAUGUUUUUCAUCAGUUUCAAAGCCCCCUCUUCUCAUAUUUUCUCCCCUCUUUGGGACCCAGCUGCCAAGGAACAGGCUUUGUGUCCCAUCCCCCAUGCGUUCCUUUGCCUGCAUUAAGCAUUCAGAAGUCAAGAAAAGAAGAGUGUGGUUUCUUGGGCUGCUUCAGAAGCCAAAAUUAAGAAAACAGCUGUUGGUUAACAUAUGCCUCCUGAUCUUGAUUAAUUGUAGAAUGCAGUAGUGAAAAUGUGACUAUGAUCAUCUCAGAGCACUGUGUGGAUAAAAUGGCUAUCAAAGUAAAAAUUCCUAUUUACCAUACUGAAGACUUCUGACUCUUGAGGCAAAAGGAAUUCUGAGGGCAUAAAUGGGAGACCUUCUAUUUUAUAGAAGUUUUGGAUUCUGCAAGUUCCAGGCUCAAUACUGGUGUGGGACCACUUAGCUCCUUUCAAUGAAUUUAUGAUUAAGCAAGAGUUUCAAGUUCUGCCUCAAUCUUGCCAGAGCCCUAAGGCAUAGUCCCUGGAUGACAGAGCUGAUGAAGACAUCUGCCUCAAGAUUCAAGCUUUGGGGUAUGAAAACAGUGUUCAAAUAAAGCUGCUAGAGGUGCUUUCAAACACUGCCAAAAACGAAGAUGACAUGAUGAUAAUCUAAUAGACUUGGAGCCAGCAUCUGACACAUGAAGGCCAUCAUCGGAUGUGGGCUGAUUGAUCUUGGACUUCCAAGCCUCCAGAACUGUAAGAAAUACAUUUCUGUUCUUUAUAAAUUACCCAGUCUAACGUUUCUGUUACAGCAGCACAAAAUAGAAUAAGACAUGGCAAAAAUGUAGAAGGCUAGAGACAGUAAGACUAAGCUACUAUAUCCACACGGAAAGGAUAUUGUUAAAACUGGUCCUAGGAAAUACUGAGAAGUAAACGCUUCCUUAUCUGAGUCCAAUUCGUCUGCCUACCUGCCUCCUUCCGUCCUCUUCCAAACUCAUCUAAAUACUUAUUGUAAUAGCAUUUAUUGUGAAUUUUGCCUAAUUAUCUUAAAAGUGUUGGUAUUUAAAAGAUGAGUGGCAGAGAGAUGUAACGUUAAUAUAUAUUAUUAAAGUAUAGUAUUUCAAAUACGGUGAUUCAGGAGUAGAGACCGUUCUAUUGAGGCAAAUCUUCUCAAUAAAAUCACUGACGCCUAAAAUUAUGCUACCUACUAGUGAUUAGUGGCUUGUACAGAGAGGUGCCAUUGUUCUUGGCAAUGAAGACAGAGAAAUGAUAUCAUAGUAAUAGAGUGGCCAAAAUUUUAUGUUUUUGGCUUAGAAUUUCUGAGCAAGCAUUUUCUAAAGUUAAUAUACAUGACUGUUUGGAAAGGCUAAUUUCAUAUCAAAGUAAUAAAGAUAUCUGAAAGCUUAUUGGCUGGAAAGGUUGGUAAGGACCAUCAGAAGAAGGGGAAACAAAUCUGUUUUUCUAAGGAUAUAUCCAAUGGAUCAAGCUUUCACUUCAGACAGCAUACAGAUUUCCUGACUUUCAAUCUGACACCCAUAAAUAUUCCAGCUCAGUGGGUCUUUGGGUUCCCCAGUCUCUAUAAAUAUACCAUAGCUUUUGAU